rnacentral:rRNA from 1 species
CCUACGGGUGACUGCAGUGGGGAAUAUUGGACAAUGGGGGGAACCCUGAUCCAGCGACGCCGCGUGAGUGAAGAAGUAUUUCGGUAUGUAAAGCUCUAUCAGCAGGGAAGAAAGAUAUGACGGUACCUGACUAAGAAGCUACGGCUAACUACGUGCCAGCCGCCGUGGUAAUACGGAGGGGGAAAGCGUUAUCCGGUUCUACGGGGUGUAAAGGGAGCGUAGAUGGGGAUGCAAGUAUGAAGUGAAAGGCGGGGGCCCAACCCCCGGACUGCUUUUGAAACUGUAUGGCUGGAGUGCAGGGGAGGUAAGUGGAAUUCGUAGUGUAGCGGUGAAAUGCGUAGAUAUUAGGAAGAACACCAGUGGCGAAGGCAGCUUACUGGACUGUAACUGACGUUGAGGCUCGAAAGCGUGGGGAGCAAACAGGAUUAGAUACCCUUGUAGUC